rnacentral:rRNA from 3 species
UACAGAGGGUGCGAGCGUUAAUCGGAAUUACUGGGCGUAAAGCGCACGUAGUCGGCUUUGCAAGUCGGGUGUGAAAUCCCCGGGCUCAACCUGGGAACUGCAUCCGAGACUGCAUUGCUAGAGUAUGGGAGAGGGAAGCGGAAUUUCUGGUGUAGCAGUGAAAUGCGUAGAUAUCAGAAGGAACAUCAGUGGCGAAGGCGGCUUCCUGGACCAAUACUGACGAUCAGGUGCGAAAGCGUGGGGAGCAAACAGG